GACAGAGGUGCCGAGCGUUAGGCGGAAUCACUGGGCUUAAAGCGUGUGUAGGCGGAUUUGUAAGUACCUUGUGAAAUCCCACGGCUCAACCGUGGAACUGCUUGGUAUACUGCUUAUCUUGAGCCACUUAGGGGCAGUCGGAACAGACGGUGGAGCGGUGAAAUGCGUAGAUAUCGUCUGGAACGCCAAAGGUGAAGACAAGACUGCUGGGAGUGUGCUGACGCUGAGACACGGAAGCC
rnacentral:rRNA from 1 species